CAAUGAGUCUUUAUAGUAGAUGUUAGCGAUAGUUAGUCUACUGUAGGAAUAGGAUGUACACCUAGAUGGAAUCUAUCGAUCCUAGUAGAAGGAAGUAGUCCUAUGAGAUUUAAGAAACUGAGUCUUAGAGUUUAUGACCAUAGCAGUAUGAUUAAUGAAAAAUAUUUUCAUGAAAAUCAUACAUGGACUCAUGCUAAUUGAAUCUAUCAUAUGAUCGAUGAUGAGGUUUGACGAUUCAUCCAUGACCUGUCAU
rnacentral:lncRNA from 1 species